rnacentral:rRNA from 1 species
AUUGAACGCUGGCGGCAGGCCUAACACAUGCAAGUCGAACGGUAACAGGAAGAAGCUUGCUUCUUUGCUGACGAGUGGCGGACGGGUGAGUAAUGUCUGGGAAACUGCCUGAUGGAGGGGGAUAACUACUGGAAACGGUAGCUAAUACCGCAUAACGUCGCAAGACCAAAGAGGGGGACCUUCGGGCCUCUUGCCAUCGGAUGUGCCCAGAUGGGAUUAGCUUGUUGGUGGGGUAACGGCUCACCAAGGCGACGAUCCCUAGCUGGUCUGAGAGGAUGACCAGCCACACUGGAACUGAGACACGGUCCAGACUCCUACGGGAGGCAGCAGUGGGGAAUAUUGCACAAUGGGCGCAAGCCUGAUGCAGCCAUGCCGCGUGUAUGAAGAAGGCCUUCGGGUUGUAAAGUGCUUUCAGCGGGGAGGAAGGGAGUAAAGUUAAUACCUUUGCUCAUUGACGUUACCCGAAGAAGAAGCACCGGCUAACUCCGUG